rnacentral:rRNA from 1 species
GUAUAAGAGACAGCAGCAGCCACGGUAAUACAGAGGGUGCGAGCGUUAAUCGGAUUUACUGGGCGUAAAGCGUGCGUAGGCGGCUUCUUAAGUCGGAUGUGAAAUCCCUGAGCUUAACUUAGGAAUUGCAUUCGAUACUGGGAAGCUAGAGUAUGGGAGAGGAUGGUAGAAUUCCAGGUGUAGCGGUGAAAUGCGUAGAGAUCUUGAGGAAUACCGAUGGCGAAGGCAGCCAUCUGGCCUAAUACUGACGCUGAGGUACGAAAGCAUGGGGAGCAAACAGGAUUAGAUACCCGCGUAGUCCCUGUCUCUUAUAC